GACGUAGGGCGCGAGCGUUGUCCGGAUUUAUUGGGCGUAAAGAGCUCGUAGGCGGCUUGUCGCGUCGGCCGUGAAAACCUGCAGCUCAACUGCAGGCUUGCGGUCGAUACGGGCAGGCUGGAGUUCGGUAGGGGAGACUGGAAUUCCUGGUGUAGCGGUGAAAUGCGCAGAUAUCAGGAGGAACACCGAUGGCGAAGGCAGGUCUCUGGGCCACUACUGACGCUGAGAAGCGAAAGCAUGGGGAGCGAACAGG
rnacentral:rRNA from 1 species